UAUGGAUAUUGAACACUGUGUAUGAGAUUUUGUAUCUCUCCGCAUCCUCAGGGAUGAUGAAGGACUCAUUCAAUAUUUGAAUGAUCUCCUCAGGCUGCGCAUCCUCGAACUUAUGGCUAAGUUCGUCAUUCAUAACUGCCCUCAUCAUACAAUACAUAGUCAUGCGGUCAUUGAGCUACUUCAUGUAAGUGUCUCUCAUGGCACAAGG
rnacentral:lncRNA from 1 species